rnacentral:pre_miRNA from 1 species
GAAAAAACAAACCCUAGAUUUACGUGCCAACAUUUGACUGUUCGUUUUAUAUAAAAAAAAAAUUAUAAUUAGUAUUUUCAUUGUUGUCAGAUGAUAAAACAUGAUUAAUACUUUAUGCGUGACUUAUUUUUUUAAUUUUUUUCAUAAUUUUUUCAAAUAAGAUGGACGGUCUGGACACGGAAAUCAAGGUUUGUCUUUUUU